rnacentral:rRNA from 1 species
AGUGAACGCUGGCGGUAGGCCUAACACAUGCAAGUCGAACGGCAGCACAGUAAGAGCUUGCUCUUACGGGUGGCGAGUGGCGGACGGGUGAGGAAUACAUCGGAAUCUACUUUUUCGUGGGGGAUAACGUAGGGAAACUUACGCUAAUACCGCGUACGACCUACGGGUGAAAGCAGGGGAUCUUCGGACCUUGCGCGAUUGAAUGAGCCGAUGUCGGAUUAGCUAGUUGGCGGGGUAAAGGCCCACCAAGGCGACGAUCCGUAGCUGGUCUGAGAGGAUGAUCAGCCAGACUGGAACUGAGACACGGUCCAGACUCCUACGGGAGGCAGCAGUGGGGAAUAUUGGACAAUGGGCGCAAGCCUGAUCCAGCCAUACCGCGUGGGUGAAGAAGGCCUUCGGGUUGUAAAGCCCUUUUGUUGGGAAAGAAAAGCAGCAGGUUAAUACCCCGCUGUUCUGACGGUACCCAAAGAAUAAGCACCGGCUAACUUCGUG